UAGGGAAUCUUCCGCAAUGGACGCAAGUCUGACGGAGCAACGCCGCGUGAGUGAUGAAGGUUUUCGGAUCGUAAAACUCUGUUGCGAGGGAAGAAACCGUGCCAGCUAACUACUGGCACCUUGACGGUACCUCGCCAGAAAGCCACGGCUAACUACGUGCCAGCAGCCGCGGUAAUACGUAGGUGGCAAGCGUUGUCCGGAAUUAUUGGGCGUAAAGCGCGCGCAGGCGGUCCCUUAAGUCUGAUGUGAAAGCCCACGGCUCAACCGUGGAGGGUCAUUGGAAACUGGGGGACUUGAGUGCAGAAGAGGAAAGUGGAAUUCCAUGUGUAGCGGUGAAAUGCGUAGAGAUGUGGAGGAACACCAGUGGCGAAGGCGACUUUCUGGUCUGUAACUGACGCUGAGGCGCGAAAGCGUGGGGAGCAAACAGG
rnacentral:rRNA from 1 species